rnacentral:rRNA from 1 species
UACGGAGGGUGCGAGCGUUGUCCGGAAUCAUUGGGCGUAAAGGGCGCGUAGGUGGCGGGACAAGCGUGCGGUGAAAGCCUGGGGCUCAACCCCGGGUCGGCCGUGCGAACUGUUUUGCUUGAGCACUGUAGAGGCAGGCGGAAUUCCGGGUGUAGCGGUGGAAUGCGUAGAUAUCAGGAGGAAUACCGAUGGCGAAGGCAGGUCUCUGGGCUAUAACUGACGCUCAUGCACGAAAGCGUGGGGAGCAAACAGG